AAGCAUAUAGUCAUAUCAUUUCAGUUUAUCCAACAAAAAUAUCCUUACCGUCACUGUGUUUUGGAAAAAAAAAAAACAAACAUGUUGAAGGCAUGUGUUGCAUAUUUAAACAGAUGCUCACUCUGGCUCUAUAUUUGCAAAGUGUUGUGCAUGACAUUUUCUUUUGCAGAGAAACCACAACAUAUGCGAGAAGAAAACAAUCUCGUUCCUGUUUCAGUGCUGAUGUGUCACAUAAAGAAAAUCUGGACUUGUUGAGAAUAUCCGCUCGCUUGUCGACGGCUCUCUAGCCAGAUGUGAGUAAGGACGAGGACACAGAUUGAAAGUUAAGUCUUCCAGGGUUUGUGCUAACAAUAACAGAUACCACUUGUAUUUCCUUUUUGGUGUUAGCUGUGAGUUAUAUGAGUGGGAACAAACAGCCUAAGUGGGGAAUGGAAAUUCUCACUGCUUAGUUCUGCUUACUGUCUGAGAGAUGCAAAUGCUAUUCUUGUUUAAGGUGCAUUAGAUAUGGUGCAUUAAGAACAAGCUUUUGUUUUUGCUACUUUGCAGUUUUUGGACUAUCGGUUUCACGUUUGUUUUUGGCCGGCCCUGCACCAGGAGCAGCUGGUACAUUGUCAUCCAGGGUGCUUUUAACUUAGGAAACAAUCUUUUUUAACUUUAACAAAAAAACACCAUGUGCACUCGUACUUACAGCCAUAUGUGUCCUAAACUCUGUGGAUACAAACUGAUGACUCAUGCUAGUCUGGUCUGCUGCUCUGAUCCAUCGUAACAAACAGUCAUUACAUGCUCUUCAUGUUUCAGUUGUUGGGAUGUAUCGCUCUGCUGCCUCAUUUUGGGUGAUGGUGUGUAAUGAGCUUAUGAGUGCAUCCACCGACACUCCUUUUGAAGAGGAGCAAAAUGAGUAUGUGCAACUUCUAAGGAGAGUCGACGGAGGCCCGGAGCGCUGGAUUCUAGUGGCAAAGACCAGAAUCACCAAUCAACAGCAACUGGAAGAUCCUGUUCACAUGGCUGAGCUGCAGGGACAGAUUGCUUUGGCACUCUCUAACGAAGUCACUAACGAGGUCUGUAACGAGGGGUCUCACAACUCUCUGCACCCCCUUCAACUACCCUCCAACCCCCUUUUUUUCGCCAGCACCAUCUCUCCCCUGACAGAUGGUGUGUAAUCAGAGAGAGAAACACACUCACACACACGUAUAGAGAGGGGAAAAUAAAUGAAUGAACAAGCGA